GACGAACGCUGGCGGCGUGCCUAAUACAUGCAAGUCGAACGCUGAAGGAGGAGCUUGCUUCUCUGGAUGAGUUGCGAACGGGUGAGUAACGCGUAGGUAACCUGCCUGGUAGCGGGGGAUAACUAUUGGAAACGAUAGCUAAUACCGCAUAAGAGUAGAUGUCGCAUGACAUUUGCUUAAAAGGUGCAAUUGCAUCACUACCAGAUGGACCUGCGUUGUAUUAGCUAGUUGGUGAGGUAACGGCUCACCAAGGCAACGAUACAUAGCCGACCUGAGAGGGUGAUCGGCCACACUGGGACUGAGACACGGCCCAGACUCCUACGGGAGGCAGCAGUAGGGAAUCUUCGGCAAUGGACGGAAGUCUGACCGAGCAACGCCGCGUGAGUGAAGAAGGGUUUCGGAUCGUAAAGCUCUGUUGUAAGAGAAGAACGAGUGUGAGAGUGGAAAGUUCACACUGUGACGGUAUCUUACCAGAAAGGGACGGCUAACUACGUG
rnacentral:rRNA from 1 species